UACGUAGGGGCCUAGCGUUGUCCGGAUUUAUUGGGCGUAAAGAGCUCGUAGGCGGUUCGGUAAGUCAGGUGUGAAAUCUCCACGCUCAACGUGGAGGCGCCACCUGAAACUGCCGUGACUCGAGUCCGGUAGGGGAGUGUGGAAUUCCCGGUGUAGCGGUGAAAUGCGUAGAGAUCCGGAGGAACACCAAAGGCGAAGGCAGUGUCCUGGGGAGUACCUGACGCUGCAGGUGCGAAAGCCAGGGGAGCGAACGGG
rnacentral:rRNA from 1 species